AAAAGCUCGUAGUUGGAUUCAGAGGUGGGGUUGUGGGUCGGGUGUGGCCCGGCAGCUUGUCUCCGUGUGCCGCUCCCAAUCAACCCGCGUUUGCCCCAGCCUCCUAUCGCACGGAAACGGAGUCCUGCUGGGGUCUCCUUAACUGGGGGUUCCAGCGCUUCCGCGCACAACGUGCGCUUACGGACCGUCCGUGGACGUUACUGUGAACAAAACAGCGUGUUCAAAGCAAGUGGCUUGCCUGCCCUGCAUGUUAAAGCAUGGAAUAACAAGGCAUCGACCACUCGGCGGUGCUUUUGUUGGUCUUUCCCUCCCGGUGGGAAUGCGCAGGCGUGCACACUGCCGGCCUUCUGGCCGGUCUGGGUGCCGUCUCUUCGAGAUCAAUAGGGGCAAACGGGGAGAUACCUAUUGUGGGGAGAGCGGUGAAAUGCGAUGACCCCCAUAAGAGGAACUUCAGCGAAAGCAGUUCUCAAGACUGCCUUCGUUAAUCAAGAACGAGACUGUGGGGAUCAAAGAUGAUCAGAUACCGUCGUAGUCCACUAGCGUAAACGAUGCC
rnacentral:rRNA from 1 species